rnacentral:tRNA from 1 species
GGAGGGGUGGCAGAGCGGUUGAAUGCACUGGUCUUGAAAACCAGCGAGGGUGAAUAGCCCUCCGAGAGUUCGAAUCUCUCCUCCUCCGCCA